rnacentral:rRNA from 1 species
UACGGAGGGUGCGAGCGUUGUCCGGAAUCACUGGGCGUAAAGGGCGCGUAGGCGGUCUGCUAAGCGUGUGGUGAAAGCUCGGGGCUCAACCCCGAGUCUGCCAUGCGAACUGGUGGACUAGAGCACUGUAGAGGCAGGUGGAAUUCCGGGUGUAGCGGUGGAAUGCGUAGAGAUCCGGAAGAACACCGGUGGCGAAGGCGGCCUGCUGGGCAGUAGCUGACGCUGAGGCGCGACAGCGUGGGGAGCAAACAGG